GCAGCAAGGCUGGAAUUGGCUUUAUUAUUAGGAACUCAUCCUGCCAGUUGCAAAUGGCUAUUUCUGAGCCAGUGAAAGUAACCUCUGUUUUGCAAGUUGCUCCCUUGCUCAUAUUCCAAGAUCUAUGGACAAUGUUGCUGACAUCUUGCCCCGGAAGGCCUUGUCUCUAGAGUGUAGAACAAGCCGGCCGUUUUCCAUUCCAUGGCUGGUCAAUCUUGGUAAGAAUGACUCCAUGUGUCUCUCACACUCCAAAUAAAUAAACUCCUAUUAACCAAAAAAAAAAAAA